CAGUCGCCGCGGGAAUACGUAGGGUGCAAGCGUUAUCCGGAAUUAUUGGGCGUAAAGAGCUCGUAGGCGGUUUGUCGCGUCUGCUGUGAAAACUGGAGGCUCAACCUCCAGCCUGCAGUGGGUACGGGCAGACUAGAGUGCGGUAGGGGUGAUUGGAAUUCCUGGUGUAGCGGUGGAAUGCGCAGAUAUCAGGAGGAACACCGAUGGCGAAGGCAGAUCUCUGGGCCGUAACUGACGCUGAGGAGCGAAAGCGUGGGGAGCGAACAGGAUUAGAUACCCCCGUAGUCCCUGUCUCUUAUAC
rnacentral:rRNA from 1 species